UACGAAGGGGGCUAGCGUUGCUCGGAAUGACUGGGCGUAAAGGGCGCGUAGGCGGCUUACACCGUCAGAUGUGAAAUUCCUGGGCUUAACCUGGGGGCUGCAUUUGAUACGUGUGGGCUUGAGUGGGGAAGAGGGGUCGUGGAAUUCCCGAGUGUAGAGGUGAAAUUCGUAGAUAUUGGGAAGAACACCGGUGGGCGAAGGCGGGUCUCUGGGGCCGAUACUGACGCUGAGGAGCGAAAGCGUGGGGAGCGAACAGG
rnacentral:rRNA from 1 species